rnacentral:rRNA from 1 species
GAGCGGCGAACGGGUGAGUAACACGUGAGUAACCUGCCCCUGACUNUGGGACGAGCCUGGGAAACUGGGUCUAAUACCGGAUAUGACAUCUACCCGCAUGGGUGGGNUGUGGAAAGUUUUUUCGGUUGGGGAUGGGCUCGCGGCCUAUCAGCUUGUUGGUGGGGUAGUGGCCUACCAAGGCGACGACGGGUAGCCGGCCUGAGAGGGCGACCGGCCACACUGGGACUGAGACACGGCCCAGACUCCUACGGGAGGCAGCAGUGGGGAAUAUUGCGCAAUGGGCGGAAGCCUGACGCAGCGACGCCGCGUGGGGGAUGACGGCCUUCGGGUUGUAAACCUCUUUCAGCAGGGACGAAGUUGACGUGUACCUGUAGAAGAAGCGCCGGCUAACUACGUGCCAGCAGCCGCGGUAAUACGUAGGGCGCAAGCGUUGUCCGGAAUUAUUGGGCGUAAAGAGCUCGUAGGUGGCUUGUUGCGUCUGCCGUGAAAGCCCGUGGCUUAACUGCGGGUCUGCGGUGGAUACGGGCAGGCUAGAGGCUGGUAGGGGCAAGCGGAAUUCCU